CUGUGACCAGCCUGUGCAGUGAUACGUGGCUCGGUCUCUCUUUCCGCGGUUGGAUAACACGAUGAAAAACUGGAACCGCCCAGAGAAGAGGAGAGGCUACCGCAACUGACACAGACUGGCCUCGGGGAGCACUGUGAAGCUCGACCACAUGAGACCACCAUUUUCCGGUGAAAUGCCUUGACUUCCCGCCUUCUCUGAGGUUUGACUGCUGGCUUGACUCACUUGUUUCUCUUGUUCCGUGGUUUUGCUCAGCGACUGACGCCCCCCACCUUAAGUUGGUAGAAAUUACACCGAAAUAAGAAAGCAACAGGUGUGAGAAAACCUUCACGGAGCCACAGGUCCAUUCAGUGCCUCUUCUGUAGUCGUUUAACCGUCUGAGACGUGAUCAGUUCGUGAAAAUGUGUUAUUGUGAUUUUAAUAUGGACCCUAGGAGCCCUGAGCUAAAUAAACAAACAACAUAAGCAAAUCAUGCUCAAUAUUUGUAAUAAUUAUUUUAAUAUUAUCAUUUAUGAGCGUGCAACGUGAUG